rnacentral:rRNA from 1 species
GAUGAACGCUAGCGGCAGGCCUAAUACAUGCAAGUCGGACGGGAUUGAGGAGCUUGCUCUUCAUGAGAGUGGCGCACGGGUGCGUAACACGUAUGUAACCUACCCAUAUCAGGGGGAUAGCCUCUCGAAAGAGAGAUUAAGCCCGCAUAAAAUCACACUAUGGCAUCAUAGAGUGAUCAAAUAUUUAUAGGAUUAAGAUGGGCAUGCGGAACAUUAGCUAGUUGGUAAGGUAACGGCUUACCAAGGCUACGAUGUUUAGGGGAUCUGAGAGGAUGGCCCCCACACUGGUACUGAGACACGGACCAGACUCCUACGGGAGGCAGCAGUAAGGAAUAUUGGUCAAUGGACGGAAGUCUGAACCAGCCAUGCCGCGUGCAGGAAGACGGCCCUACGGGUUGUAAACUGCUUUUGUACCGGAAUAAACCUCUUUACGUGUAAGGAGCUGAAUGUACGGUAAGAAUAAGGAUCGGCUAACUCCGUGCCAGCCGCCGCGGUAAAAC